ensembl:lncRNA novel transcript
GCGGGUUGGACCAGGUCUCCUGACAUGGGGCUGCAGCCAGGUGGGGUUGGGCUCCUGGGAUUCCCAUGCGCGUGGACGGUGGGUCAGAUGCUGUAGCCGCCAUCUGAAGCCGACGUGUGAAACUUCAGCUUCUUAGCAAGAUGUCUUAGAGGAUAAAAAUGAGCGGGCAGAUGAAGAGAUACUCAGGGUGAGGUUUGGAAGGUGCACCAGGCCCACCCCAUGGAUGUGGCUCAGAGAGCCUGGGAAACGUGAGGUCUGUGACCUGGAUCAGGCCCAGAGAGACCUGAGCAGGAGGCGUGUGAAGCCCCUGCGCCUGUGCGAGGAGGGAAGCUGUUUCAGGGAAUUUGCCUUUCUUUCCCUGUAGUUUCAGACUAGCUGAUAAAUUACCUAAAAUGUUACCACAAGAUGCACAAUGUAACCAUCACUCAUUAUCUUCAUGUUCCUGGAAUUUUUUUUUUUUUUUUGAGAUAGAGUGUAGCCUCAUGGCAGCCUCAACCUCCUGGGCUCAAGUUGUCAGAGGCGUGUGAACCAGAGCAACUCCAUCUUGAAUGGGGCUGCGUAAAAUGAAGCUGAGACCUGUGGGGCUGCAUUCCCAGACCGCUGUGGCAUUCUGAGUCACAGGGUGAGACAGGAGGUCAGCACAAGAUACAGGUCAUAAAGACCUUGCUGAUAAAACAGGUUGCAGCAAAGGAGCCGUCCAAAUCCCACCAAAACCAAGAUGGUGACAAGAGUGACCUCUGGCCGUCCUCACUGCCACACUCCCACCAGCCGUGACAGUUUACAGAUGCCAUGGCAACCUCAGGAAGUCACCAUAUAUGGUCUAAAAAGGGGAGGUAUGAAUAAUCCACCCCUUGUUUAGCAUAUCAUCAAGAAAUAACCACAAAAACGGAGAACCAGCAGUCCUCGGGGCUGCUUUGUCUAUGGAGUAGCCAUUCUUUUUUUUUUUUUCGAGAUGGAGUCUCGCUCUGUUGCCUGGGCUGGAGUGCGGUGGCAUGAUCUUGGCUCACUGCAACCUCUGCCUCCUGGGUUUAAGUGAUUCUCCUGCCUCAGCCGAGCUGAGUAGCUGGGCUUACAGGCACCCACCACCAUGCCCGGCUAAUUUUUUGUAUUUUUAGUAAAGCCAGGGUUUCAUUAUACUAGCCAGGCUGGUCUCGAACUCCUGACCUCAUGACCUGCCUGCCUCAGCUUCCCAAAGUACUGGGAUUACCGGUGUGAACCACCGUGCCCAGCCAGAGUAGCCAUUCUUUACUCCUUUACUUUCCUAAUAAACUUCCUUUCACUUUA